GUCACUUCUCGGCCUUUUGAUGAAGAUCACAUGUAGUAUUUGUUCUAUCAACUUAAUAUCAGAUGUGGCCUCUAACCAGGACAGUGGAUGAAGCUGAUUUUUGAAAGAAGGAGAAUGAACAAGAGCUUCCUCCAUCCAUCUAGUGUGUUAGCCUGGUAUAUAGCACUUCCCGGGAAUGAUGCGCCCUUC
rnacentral:snRNA from 1 species